rnacentral:rRNA from 1 species
CCUACGGGUGGCAGCAGUAAGGGAUAUUGGACAAUGGGGGAAACCCUGAACCAGCGACGCCGCGUGAGGGAAGAAGGAUUUCGGAAUGUAAAGCUCUGUCAUCUGUGAAGAUGAUGACGGUAGCAGAGGAGGAAGCUCCGGCUAACUACGUGCCAGCAGCCGCGGUAAUACGUAGGGAGCGAGCGUUGUCCGGAUUUACUGGGUGUAAAGGGUGCGUAGGCGGCUUGGCAAGUCAGGAGUGAAAGCCAUGGGCUUAGCCCAUGAACUGCUCUUGAAACUGUCGAGCUGGAGUGAAGUAGAGGUAGGCGGAAUUCCCGGUGUAGCGGUGAAAUGCGUAGAGAUCGGGAGGAACACCAGUGGCGAAGGCGGCCUACUGGGCUUUAACUGACGCUGAGGCACGAAAGCGUGGGGAGCAAACAGGAUUAGAUACCCCAGUAGUC